rnacentral:rRNA from 1 species
CGUGUAGGCGGCUUGCUAAGUCAGUUGUUAAAGACCGUGGCUUACCCAUGGAAGAGCAAUUGAUACUGGCAAACUAGAGGACUAGAGAGAGGAGUGGAAUUCUCGGAGUAGCGGUAAAAUGCGUAGAUCUCGAGAGGAACACCGAUGGCGAAGGCAGCUCUUUGGCUAGUACCUGACGCUGAGGCGCGAAAGCGUGGGGAGCAAACA